rnacentral:lncRNA from 1 species
GCGUGGCUGUGCUGACUUCAGAGAGGAAUUGUUGGUGGCUUAGCAACAGCUGCACACACAGCUUCCAUAGGGAAUGGAGUGAAAAUCCUAUGGGGAUCUAUCCAUUGCCUGAUGUUCCAGAGUUUCCAAGGCCCUGGGGGAUUUCCACCUUACCCUGUAAAUCCUCUCUGACUGACUGCUGAAUUGGACAUGGCAACAAGAAUGCAGGCCUGAAUCACAUUAUGUUCCAGGAACCUUUAACUUUGCAUCAUAAUGACCUGCGGCCUAACAGAAGCAAAUUGCAAGUGGUUUCAAAAGGAUAAACUCUAAUUUAUAUUAAGCUAGUAUUAUAACUUAAGCAGCUCGUUUUGAAAGCAAAACUAAAAACCUCAUCAUUCAUGUGAUGGCCCCUAAAUGCAUCCUUUUACAUUUUACCUGUAAAAUGCUCUGUGUUUGCUGACAGGUUAAGUGUAUACUAUACACAGAGAGCCAACAUUUCUCUUUGUAACACUGCAGCAAUCUUACUUUUAGCAGCAUUCUUAUUAUUUUAAGCUGUCCCCAUUGUCUUCUAAACACCAUAAUUAGAAGCUGAAAAGCUUACAGCAACCAAACCCAAUAAGGUCUCAUUAUGAACAAAAUAUUCUACCGUGGCUCAACAAGUGACCCAAUGUAUUCCAACAAGAUGAAGCCUUCAGCCUUCCUGCCCAAUUAUGGCGUCAGCUUUCAUUUUCCUAGAGAGAAGAGUGGAAAAGAAAACCCGUCUGCUGGAAAGGGUUCAGAGUCUCUCUGAUGGGUGGAGUGGUGUUUUGUAAAUGAGUUGAAUGAGAGAAUCAGUGAGAAGAAAGCUAGAAUAAUUACACAGAUUGACUAAAGAAAAAAGGGGAGGGGAUGAUUUUAGGACCAAAGAAAUUCUUUUCCCCAUCAGAUCACUGACUUUUCCAUUUGGAUGCUUAGUGUCUUUUUCCCUUUGACUCAUCUUCUUGAACUCUGUGCAAAUGCAAAGUCCUAAGAGAGACAGGAUAUUAGGGUGGUACAAAAGUAAUUGCGGUUUUUGCAAUUACUUUUAAUGCCAAAACCGCAGUUACCUUUGCACCAACCUAAUACAUCAAGUAUUAUCAAUCAUUUACACCUGAGUAUAAAUGAACACUUUUACCCCUUUCUCAUAGCAAAAGAAAGCAGAGGGCUAGAGGAGAAAACUUAAAAAAAAAAAUUAGAAAAUCUCUUCUGUUUUCAUGUUUUACCUGGGAUUGUUGUGAAUGUUAGUCCCUUGCUUCACCAUAUUGUCAUGUCUUUUUAUGUUGACUUUAAACUUGGAAGUACUAGGUAAGGGAGAAAUGAAAUGUGUUUUGAUAUCCUAUAGCUUUUUCGGAAAAUACUUUCCCAAAACCAAGUAGACACAAAGCUGCCUGGUUAUGAAGUAUUCUCAUAUAAGUCAAGCAUGUGAAAUGUAGAAAUAAA